GCUAGUGAAACAAUAAUUUUUGUUGUGUGUACUGCUGAUUAAGGUGUGAGGACCGUUAGUUUCUGCACAUAAUGGCGACAUGCGAUGUAUAUUUAAACACAAAACUGCACUUAUCUAAACUAACAUAGGAAACUUAGAGUCAUGAAGCUGCUAAUCGUGUCUUUGAUGCUGGUGUUUCUGUGUGUGUCAUGCCAGGGUGUGUCACUAACGUUGAAGCCGUUAUGUAGCACCUGUGCUGCCGGUGACCAGGUGUGUCACUCACAGUGCCAGACGGGACUGUUCCCUCUGGUCAAGAGGAACUGUAUCUGUGGACUCAGUGACCCCAACUCGCUGGAAUGCUUGACCGCUGUUAUCUGUGAUGGUGUUGGCAAAUAAAUAUCACUCCUGACCUG